AUCACCCCGCAUGUUGCGCACACGCUCGGCCGCGCCAUGAAGCUGCUCGGCCCCUCCGCACUCACCGCGAUCCUCCUCCUCCUGCUCCUCGGCCUCCACACGGCGCAGCCCGGGCGGCAGAGGCCGCGGAAGGUUGUAAAGAAACCUGGAUAUUGCCCAGAGUUUUCACUUGGCUGCCCUUUCGUCCUCUUACCUCUGUGCUGGCGCGACAGAGGUUGCAAGGGGGACAAGAAGUGUUGCUUCUACAACUGCAGGCAGCAGUGUAUGGAGCCGUGGCUCAGCUUGGAAUGAGCUUGUAAUAAUGAGUCACUUUCCUCUCCACAUUUAAACUGUCAGGUAGAAACCCCUUCUUAACCAGACCUGAGAAGACCCAUCGGACAGGCUCAGACUUGGAUAACUGAUCCCCAGUUCCUCCGUGCUCUCUCCUCACUGCCCACACUUUCUUUUAUCAAGAGUUUAAUGCUUAUUAACAUGAAAACAACACAAAGAAAUAAAGUUAUAUAUUUAAAACUA